AAAGUUAACAGCUUAUUAAAGAAGGCACAUAUUUUUCCAUUAAAAAUAUUUUAAUAUUAGGGCACAUCUAACUGCUGGUGGCUUGAAAUUUCACUCCAGGCAAGUUACACAAAAUUGUAGUUGUGAAAGGUUUUACCCCAAAAUAGCCUGUGAUCUAAUAGAAAGUAGUUCUAAGUUACAGCUCAUCCUGCAUUUUUCAUUUCCAGCACCCUCCAUCUGUGCGUUACUUGUGUUGCUAUGAAUUUGGCAACCCUUCAGCAGUGAGCUACUGUUUAUAAGAAGGGAUCCCAGCAGCUAAAAGAAGCCAGUCGUUGGGAUUACUCAUUACUUGCCUUUUGAGCUGCUCCAGGGAAUUUCUUGAAGAACUAUGUCAAAAUCAGCUUUAGAAAACCAGUAAUUUGAGAACUUCGAUUGACCAGAGUAGUGUUGGUCAAGUUGGUGGGAUUAAGAAGGAUUCUUUUUGUUGGUACCGAGUGAAGAUUUUCCUCUCCUGUGGAAGGAAACAAGAGCAUAAAAAAGGCCUUUUUUCUCUCUGCAAGAAGAAAUCUGACGCAUUGGGAUCUCAAUUACCAAGACACCAUGAAUGCUUCCAGGAGGAUACAUUCUCUCCGUGCUCACAGACAGAAAACCAAUGGCAGCAAAAGUGAGAACUGGCACAGCACCUCUGGGUUCAAGGAUCAGCAUGGAGAUGAUCUUGCUACAGUCCAUACCCUUUACACAGUGAUUGUCAUGAUCCUUCUAAUGGCAAUCUGGGGAGCCUGGUCAAGAAAGGAUUCAUCCUGAUAGCAGCAAUAUGCUUUCUUUGUCAAAUAUUUAAAGGAAUAUUUGUGUCAAUUAUCCAUACCCGGGAGGUACAAAAAAAAAAAAAUGGUCUCAGCAUAUUACAGUUUGCUUGAAACUGCUUAAACUGUUGCUAUGUGUGAAACUGAAACUGUGAAGCAAUUUAAUUGUCAAUAUACAGAACAUGACUGUGAAUAACAUAUACCUGUUUGCACUGUACAUGUUUCUAUUACCCCUCGCAUGUAUAUGAAACUUACGUUAAGCACAACAUGCUAGUAAGAAGAGUUCUACUUAUGUUUUUGUUGGUCAGUGUUGUGUAGAGAAACCUCAGCUUUCCACUUUUGAACUUCAGUUGUCAGUGUCUACCUCUGCUAAGAUUACCUGUUUGAAUCCAUCAUAAAACAUAUACUAUAAGCAAGCAAAUAAUCUGCCAUGUCACAACAUCAUAAGAAAACAAAUACAUUAACAAAACCAGCUAUCCUGAAGGCAAAGGAAGACGUAUGAAGCAAUCAAAUUCUCAUCUCUGUUGCUGAAGAGUUUAUAUGGGACUUGCACCUGCAUAUUUUUAACCUGUGGUAAUGCCUUUGUAAACUCAGGAAUAAAAUAAUGAAAUAAA